rnacentral:rRNA from 1 species
UACGUAGGGGGCAAGCGUUGUCCGGAAUCACUGGGCGUAAAGCGCACGUAGGCGGAUUGCUAAGUCAGGGGUGAAAUCCUGGAGCUCAACUCCAGAACUGCCUUUGAUACUGGCGAUCUCGAGUCCGGGAGAGGUGAGUGGAACUGCGAGUGUAGAGGUGAAAUUCGUAGAUAUUCGCAAGAACACCAGUGGCGAAGGCGGCUUACUGGUCCGGUUCUGACGCUGAGGCGCGAAAGCGUGGGGAGCAAACAGG